CCCCUUUAUGCUUUUCAGUUAUAUCCAUGAAGAGACAGAAGCCAAAUUUCAGGCCUUCCAGAAUCACCUACUAAAGGAGCUAGGUGAGACACACUCUUGGGUUAAAGGUAAAAGGCCCUCUAAGAGGAACUGGAUUCACCAUGGGAACUGGUCUUUUUCUACCCAAUUCAACAGCUGUUUAUUCCUCCACUGGCCUACUAGGAAAUAAAUUAAGCCCCACCUAACUCAGUAUGAUUAAAAGUAACAAUUGCUCCUGUUGAUGACUGUAGCAAAAUAAUACCAGCAACUUGAUUUUAUAAGGUGCUUUCCAUCUAAGGAUCUCAAAGCACUCUACCCCCAUUAUCUGGUGACACAGUCCCUUAUCCUACUGGUAGAACUGAAGACUGAAGAGCCUGAGGCCACCUCUGACUCACCUGAACGGCAGUUAGGCCGGUCCCCAGCCCUGUGCUGACAAACCCUGCCUGCCUCCUUCCCAUCCACCUUACUACACGCCUGAAGAGAAAAACCUGGACCUGCAGACCAGACAUUUUAUUCCAGGGGCCAACGCUUUCAGCCCCUGCCCCCAAAAAGGAUUCCUACAUGUGAAACGCGGCCACCACCGUGGAGCCCAGCCUGUGAAAGUGCAAAGUACUCGGGCAGAGCCCCGGGCCCGACGCCGGGACCGGAUAAUAGGAUGGAGCCCGAGCCAGCCCCCACCUUCACGCCGCUCUCGUGCGUGCGCGGGAACGCCGGCGACCGCGGCGACCUCGCAUUGUGAUUGGCUGCAGGGGAGCACGGCAUCUUAGCACGCAGGGCGGCGGGAGCGCGCCCGCAGGGCCGCCGAGUUCCGCGGACGACUGGGCGAAGAAGGCUGGCCAACUGCGCAAAAUAUCGGGAAUGGGGAAAUAAUGGAACGAGUCCUCCCUUUUCCUGCGUCCUACUUUGCACUCUUUCAGUAUCCAAGCAGAAACUUUAAAGUUUAAAAAAGUGUUCAUGUGUACUCGAACUACUCCAAAACAAGGGCCACUCUUAGAUUCGCCAGAUAGCCCCCCCAAAUAAAGUGGUACGGUCCAGACUGGCUUCUAGCAUAGCCAAUUACGGACGGACCGCUGCGUCUUCCUGCCACGCCCCUUCAAGCAUUGGCCAACCGCGUGGAGGAUAAGGAAGCCGCCCUCCACCCCCACUUUUUUUUUUUUUUUUGAUGGCGGAAACUUUAUUUAAAACACCUUGCUGAAUUAGUCCGGUUGGCAAAUCCCGGGUUUCAUCCUGAUCUCUGGAUGUAGAACGCUUUGAGCUGCGGCUCGGACUUGGAAGGCGACCAGACUGGGAGGCCAGAGGGGCAGGAGUGGGGAGCCGGGCAGGAGGGACACAGGGCAGGCGGCGGGCCGUACCGGUCUGAGAGCCCUGCGCCGCCUUCCCGGCCGCACAGCCGGGCUCUCCAGAAUAGCUCCGGUCUCUGAUGAGCUGCUGGCCGAGUCCCCGAAGAUCGCAGCGCGGCGCUUUGCCCUAAUUAGCCCGGGACGGCGACUAAGCCCACGGCGAUGCCACAUGGGCCCUCCUCGCGCGGCUCGGGCCGCUUCCCGUCCGACAGCAUCGCUGGCGGUUAUGUAAUAGACCUGGGAAAGGAAGGGCUCUACCUCCGUCCUGCUAGCGCGCUCGGCCUGAUUUCCCGGGUCGGGCCUGGGGACGAAGGUGUGACUGUGGUCCUGACACCUUAGCAUCAGGCAGCCAGAGGACGGAGGCGUCCGCCCUGUUUCCUGGGGUCCUGCCAACUUUCUUCUCUGACGUCGCAUUUAGUAUGAAUUCUAAUUCAUUCUUGUUUUGGUUUUGGUUUUUUGAGAAAGGGCCUUGAUGUGUAGCUCAAACUGGCCAGCAACUGAUGUUGAUCGUCAUGCUUCAGCCUCCAUUCUGGAAUUACAGGAAUGCAUCACCAUGUCUGACUUAGUUCUAAUUCAUUCUUGCUAUGGACUUCAACCCAGUGUGUAUUGCAACAUAGUUGAGUUUUUGUUAGUAUUUUUAAAAACUUUUAGAUAGUAGAAAAGAUAAACUUAAGUAGUGCUGGAAGUAGAAAUGUUUACAUCGUGUGUCUUUGACCUCUAAAUCUUUCCCUAAAAUAAAAUCGAAUUUCAGUUUUUUGUUAGA